rnacentral:rRNA from 1 species
GACGAACGCUGGCGGCGUGCUUAACACAUGCAAGUCGUACGGUAAGGCCCUUUCGGGGGUACACGAGUGGCGAACGGGUGAGUAACACGUGAGUAACCUGCCCACAACUUUGGGAUAACGCUAGGAAACUGGUGCUAAUACUGGAUAUGUGCUCCUGCUGCAUGGUGGGGGUUGGAAAGCUCCGGCGGUUGUGGAUGGACUCGCGGCCUAUCAGCUUGUUGGUGGGGUAGUGGCCUACCAAGGCGGCGACGGGUAGCCGGCCUGAGAGGGUGACCGGCCACAUUGGGACUGAGAUACGGCCCAGACGCCUACGGGAGGCAGCAGUGGGGAAUAUUGCACAAGGGGCGCAAGCCGGAUGCAGCAACGCCGCGUGCGGGAUGACGGCCUUCGGGUUGUAAACCGCUUUCAGCAGGGACGAAGCUUUUUGUGACGGUACCUGCAGAAGAAGCACCGGCUAACUACGUG